rnacentral:tRNA from 1 species
GCGGGAGUAGCCCAGUGGUCAAAUUCCUUCUCAUUCGUGCGAAGGAGUUCGUGUGUUCGAAUCGCAUCUCCCGCACCA